rnacentral:lncRNA from 1 species
AUGACACUCCAAAUGAUGACAUUGAUCUUAUUCUCUCUGCCCUCUGGAGAUGUCUCGGUGGACGUGGAGUUGGUACAAACCUGUGUUGGGGGCUCAGCGGUGCUUCCCUGUCACACCCCGAACGGGGAAGGCUUGGCCGUGGAGGGGGUGAGUCUGAAGAGGCAAAAGGGCCGAACGCCUGUGGAGGUGGUGUACCACUCCAAGCAGCACCACAGCAGCAACCAUUUUCCUGCUGAGAGGGUCCAGCUGUCCUCGGCUCCCAGCCCCCAUGGCAUCACCUACAACGUGACCCUGCAGCAGCUCCAGGUGGAGGACAGCGCCCUCUACAGUUGCCAGCUGCUCCUGCAUGGCAGGCCCGACUGCAGCACCCAUCUGGAGAGAAGAACGUUCUUUGUUUCUGUGCAAGGCGAGGAGUGUGGCUGCUCCAACUCCUCCGCCCUCCUGUACGCUCUGUCUGCUGCUGUGGGCGCUCUCCUCCUGCUCCUCUUUGGAUUUGUCCUCAUGUCCAAAGUAAAAGCUCGCAGUGGUGCAAAGAUGCAGCCUCCGCCGCCGGUCUACGAGGAGAUGGUCGGGGUGCAGUCUCCCUGUGGAAAACUGGCCUCGCUGCGUUUGGAGGAAGCGGAGUCAGCUGAGUACAGCAACGGCCAGCGGAGGAAGGCCACCUCUGAAAACCAUUACGAAAGCCCCCGUGGAGGACUCCUCCGCACCAACUGUCACACAUGA